rnacentral:rRNA from 1 species
UACAGAGGUCCCAAGCGUUGUUCGGAUUCACUGGGCGUAAAGGGUGCGUAGGCGGUUGGGUAAGUCUGUCGUGAAAUCUCCGAGCCUAACUCGGAAACUGCGUCGGAUACUAUUCAACUCGAGGAAUGGAGGGGAGACUGGAAUUCUCGGUGUAGCAGUGAAAUGCGUAGAUAUCGAGAGGAACACCUGCUGCGAAGGCGGGUUGCUGGGCUGACACUGACGCUGAAGCGCGAAAGCUAGGGGAGCGAACGGG